rnacentral:lncRNA from 8 species
AGAGAGAGAAGAGGAGGAAGAGAUGGAUGGAGAGAGGGAGGAUGGAGAAUAGUAAAGCCAAUCUGCACGGCCAGCAGCCUAGCGUGUCAAUCACUUGAGGACCACACACUCCAAGGAUCAGCCCAGGGUCAGCUCUCCUCUCAGCCCAGGGUCAGCUCUCCUCUCAGCCGUGGGGGUCAGCUCUCCUCUCACCCCAGGGUCAGCUCUCCUCUCAGCCCAGGGUCAGCUCUCCUCUCAGCCCAGGGUCAGCUCUCCUCUCAGCCCAGGGUCAGCUCUCCUCUCAGCCCAGGGUCAGCUCUCCUCUCAGCCCAGGGUCAGCUCUCCUCUCAGCCCAGGGUCAGCUCUCCUCUCAGCCCAGGGUCAGCUCUCCUCUCAGCCCAGGGUCAGCUCUCCUCUCAGCCCAGGGUCAGCUCUCCUCUCAGCCCAGGGUCAGCUCUCCUCUCAGCUCUCCUCUCAGCCGUGGGGGUCAGCUCUCCUCUCACCCCAGGGUCAGCUCUCCUCUCACCCCAGGGUCAGCUCUCCUCUCAGCCCAGGGUCAGCACUCCUCUCAGCCCAGGGUCAGCUCUCCUCUCAGCCCAGGGUCAGCUCUCCUCUCAGCCCAGGGUCAGCUCUCCUCUCAGCCCAGGGUCAGCUCUCCUCUCAGCCCAGGGUCAGCUCUCCUCUCAGCCCAGGGUCAGCUCUCCUCUCAGCCCAGGGUCAGCACUCCUCUCACCCCAGGGUCAGCUCUUCUCUCAGCCCAGGGUCAGCACUCCUCUCAGCCCAGGGUCAGCUCUCCUCUCAGCCCAUGGUCAGCUCUCCUCUCACCCCAGGGUCAGCUCUCCUCUCAGCCCAGGGUCAGCUCUCCUCUCACCCCAGUGUCAGCUCUCCUCUCACCCCAGGGUCAGCUCUCCUCUCAGCCCAGGGUCAGCUCUCCUCUCAGCUCUCCUCUCAGCUGUGGGGGUCAGCUCAAAUCAAAUCAAAUCUAAUUUUAUUGGUCACAUACACAGCAGAUGUUAUUGCAAGUGUAGCAAAAUGAUUGUGCUUCUAGUUCCGACAGUGCAGCAAUAUCAACAAGUAAUCUAA